CACCCGCACGUACAGAUGGACAAGAAUAGGCCUCGGCUUAGCGUCUUAGCAGGCGAUUCUUCCACGGCGCUCGAAGCGCGUCGUGGUAUUUCGCGUAUUGUAAUUUCAACACGAGCGGGGUCAAAUCCUUUGCAGACGACUUAGCUGUGCGAAACGGUCCUGUAAGCAGUAGAGUAGCCUUGUUGUUACGAUCUGCUGAGGGUAAGCCGUCCUUCGCCUCGAUUUCCCCAGCCAAGUGACCGUCAGGCCACGGAGCUUUGCAGGGGAUGGGACGCCGGGGGUGCAGGGUAGGCGGGUGAGACUUGGCCGAAUCUGGCGCGGGAAGUAUAGGGUAGGAGUCUAGGGUAAGCCGGUCUGACUUGGUGAUUCUGCUGCGCCGCUGGUGGUGCAGAGGGUAUAGGGUAGUGGUACAGGGUAGGCUGGCUGGACUUGGUGAAAUUCUACCAUAUCCCUACUGGUGCGGAAGGUAUAGGGUAGGCGGAUCUGACUUGGCGAAACUCAGCGCAUCGUCUGUGGUACGAAAGGUAUAGGGUAGGUACAGGGUAGGCGGCUCCCACCCGCCUACCCUAGAGCUCAUCUUUGCAGCGCUCUGGCGCGCGCCACAGGCGUCGCCUGGAGGUGUGAAGACUACCAUUCGGAUCGCCGUCGGCAGCUCUAUGCGUAUGCCAAGUUUGAAAAAAAAAUGCGUGCAAAAUGGUUUCGCGGUUUGGUGGCCGUGAGUCGAUUUUUUUGUUUUCCCAUACAAAUGAAUUUUGCGGAAGAUGAAAAGUGGCCCGCGAGCCCCGUCUGGCGUGCGGCGCACUGAAAGUGCGUCGGUGGGUAUGUGAUGGGGGGGUUCUGGCCUGGCCGGGGCCCGCGCCGCACCCCAGGGUAGGUAAAAGCGAAAAAGUUGUUAAGAGGCGCGGUGGCGCUGUGCUUGUCUUGGUGGGAGAGAAAUUUUUUGACCGGUCUAGGGUAGGCGGGCUGGACUUGGUGGUUUUGCCCGCUAGGUUGUGGCCUGGGCCUUGGGGCGCUGGGUGGUGUAGGGUAGGCCAGAUCUAGUAUAGGGUAAGCUCCAUAUAGUAUAGGGUAGGUCGGUCCCGGUACAGGGUAAGCUACUAGGUGGUAUAGGGUAGCUCCAGGGUAAGCGGAUCUGACUUGGUGCUUUCGCAUCGUUGCAUCACAGUGGGUAUAGGGUAAGUGAGAUUUAGUAUAGGGUAGGCUGAAUCUGGUAUAGGGUAAGUGACUCUUAGUCUAGGGUAGGUGACUUUUGGUCUAGGGUAGGUGGUCCCGAGGUCUAGGGUAGCUGCAGGCAGGCGGGCUCAGCUCGGUGCUCUCGCCCUGCUCCUGCGCCGGCUGGUAUAGGGUAGGUGAGGAUAGGUCUAGGGUAGGUACAGGGUAAGUCAAAAUCAGUGUAGGGUAGGUCGAUUUUGGUGUAGGGUAGGUACAGGGUAGGUCAGAUUUGGUAUAGGGUAGGUGAGAAAAUCCGCAAAAAUCAGGGCAUCCCACCAAAUCUGGUCUCGACCCGUCAGAUGGCUCACAGCUCUAGCAAUCACCAGUUGAAAUUCCCAGACGGAUGGUCCGGCAGGGUCAUCUCGCCAACGGCUGGCCGCACCACCCCCUGGGGGCACCAUCCGACGCGUCUCGACAAGACGAUCACAACGGUGUAGGCCACGGCUCGGUGGGACGCCCGCCCGAGGCGUGGCGGCCGUUUGAAGUUGGCGGAGGUAUAGGGUAGGUGGGUCCAGGUGUAGGGUAGGUGAAAUUUUUGGUCUAGGGUAGGUGGUCGGUCGGUCGUCGGUGAAAUUUUUGGUCUAGGGUAGGUGACCUGGUCUAGGGUAGGUACAGGGUAGGCGGCUCUCACCCGUCUACCCUGGAGCUCAUCUUCGCACCGCUCUGGCGCGCGCCACAGGCGUCGCCUGGAGGUGUGAAGACUACUGUUGGAAUCGCCGUCGACGGUUCUGUCUGUAUGCAGACUUUGAAAAAAAUGCGUGCAAAAUGGUUUCGCGGUUUGGUGGCCGUGAGUCGAUUUUUUUGUUUUCCCAUACAAAUGAAUUUUGCGGAAAAUGAAAAGUGGCCCGCGAGCCCGGUCUGGCGUGCGACCCACUAAAAGUGCGUCGGUGGGUAUGUGAGAGGGGGCAAACCAGCCAAGCCGGAAACGGCGAAAGCUGGGCCGCCCACCUACCUCUCAGUGGCUUCGUGCCGCACCAACGUACCUGAUCUUUCAGACCUGCACUGCGCAGCCGUCACAGUUCGUGAGGAGCUACUCGCUUACGGGCGGCUGUAGUGCAUGGUCGACCCCCACGAACGCGGCAGACCCGUUCUGCACGCCUACUGGGGAUACCUGUGGCGGUCAGGCUUGCCUGGCCCCCUCGGAUGGGCUCUGUGGAUAGCUGGCCACUGGCCAAAUCUACAAACGAGCAGCAGGAGGCAACUGAGCAUGGCGGUUUCCCGCCAUGUGCAGGUCCUCCUCUUGGGGCUCCCAAGCUGCACCCCUCUGUGAGUGCGGCGGAAGGUGCCCUGGGGAAGUGAGAGGGGAAAAGCGGAUCGCCCUGCGCGGCGCUGCAGGCCCUGGCCAGCAGCGCUUCAGCGGGUGCGCCUCCGGGCGUAAUCAGUAACUUGGAAAUCUCUCCGGCGCCCUCACAGGCGUCGGUAGGCCAACCCCGGCGAACGAUAGUUACC
rnacentral:misc_RNA from 1 species